rnacentral:rRNA from 1 species
GAAUCCAUAGGUUAAUGAGGCGAACCGGGGGAACUGAAACAUCUAAGUACCCCGAGGAAAAGAAAUCAACCGAGAUUCCCCCAGUAGCGGCGAGCGAACGGGGAGGAGCCCAGAGCCUGAAUCAGUGUGUGUGUUAGUGGAAGCGUCUGGAAAGGCGCGCGAUACAGGGUGACAGCCCCGUACACAAAAAUGCACAUGCUGUGAGCUCGAUGAGUAGGGCGGGACACGUGGUAUCCUGUCUGAAUAUGGGGGGACCAUCCUCCAAGGCUAAAUACUCCUGACUGACCGAUAGUGAACCAGUACCGUGAGGGAAAGGCGAAAAGAACCCCGGCGAGGGGAGUGAAAAAGAACCUGAAACCGUGUACGUACAAGCAGUGGGAGCACAGAGCAAUCUGUGUGACUGCGUACCUUUUGUAUAAUGGGUCAGCGACUUAUAUUCUGUAGCAAGGUUAACCGAAUAGGGGAGCCGAAGGGAAACCGAGUCUUAACUGGGCGUUAAGUUGCAGGGUAUAGACCCGAAACCCGGUGAUCUAGCCAUGGGCAGGUUGAAGGUUGGGUAACACUAACUGGAGGACCGAACCGACUAAUGUUGAAAAAUUAGCGGAUGACUUGUGGCUGGGGGUGAAAGGCCAAUCAAACCGGGAGAUAGCUGGUUCUCCCCGAAAGCUAUUUAGGUAGCGCCUCGUGAAUUCAUCUCCGGGGGUAGAGCACUGUUUCGGCAAGGGGGUCAUCCCGACUUACCAACCCGAUGCAAACUGCGAAUACCGGAGAAUGUUAUCACGGGAGACACACGGCGGGUGCUAACGUCCGUCGUGAAGAGGGAAACAACCCAGACCGCCAGCUAAGGUCCCAAAGUCAUGGUUAAGUGGGAAACGAUGUGGGAAGGCCCAGACAGCCAGGAUGUUGGCUUAGAAGCAGCCAUCAUUUAAAGAAAGCGUAAUAGCUCACUGGUCGAGUCGGCCUGCGCGGAAGAUGUAACGGGGCUAAACCAUGCACCGAAGCUGCGGCAGCGACACUGUGUGUUGUUGGGUAGGGGAGCGU